AGCAAGUCAUUCUGUUCGGGGGGGGGGUGUUAAUCACGACCGGAAUAUAGGGGAUACUUGGAUAAUACACUCAAUUUUGUUUCUAAAAGGGUUUAUCUAACGAAUUUAAUAUUAAACACACAGCGCAUAUUUUCCUCGCAUGGAUAUGGUGAUUGCUCAAUCAGCUUGAUGACGACAAAAGCAAACAACGACAGACAAUACGUAUCUUGACACGGAGAAGCUCAUGAAGACGGUCCCUUAUUCUUGGCGGCUCGGAACAUUCAUUGCCACCCUGGCCAUGGUGACGGACCAGCCCCAAGUAGCUGUAAGCCGGGGUUUUUAUCCUGCCAGUUCGGAUGAAGAUCAGGUGCCCUAAUCAAGGAGCCCGGUGGAACACGGAGAAAAGGAAAUUAACUGAAAUAAGUAGUUAACGGACUGGACCAUGGCACUUUAUAGAGAUGGCAUUGGUGCUGUUUCUCCAGUGCAUUAAGGUGCCUGCUGAAGUCCAUGUCUCAGAUACAUAUAGGAAGGUUGUCGUGGACCCUGAGGUCAAUGGUAACUUUCAUCACUGCCUUUGCUAAAGGAUGAUUUCUGAGAUACAGGAGAAACAAAAGACUGCAAACCCUGACAAAUGCAGCACCAAUCUGCUGUAGGAAAUCAGUGGGUCUUCAGGGUUUCAAAAUGUUGUUCAAAAAAGUCUUUCCUUCAUGGAUGUCGCUUGACCCAAGGAGUUCCUCCAGCAAUGUACACAAAAUGCUACGGGAAUUCAGCAAGUCUCCUCCAACUGUUGUGUGUAUUGCUCAAAUUUUCCAGCAUCUUCAGAAUCUCCUGUGUUAAUGAGUUUCUCUAGUAUAUUCCUUGUUGUUCUAAGAAAUGGAAAAUGGAUUGUCUUUUCUAGGGUCUCACUUUUAACUAGAGUGGCAUUGUAAAGUGGGCUGGGAAGACCUCAAGAUAAUCUUUGUUGUGUAGACAUUGGUGUAAGGCCCAUCCUUUCACGUGCUCCAGUGCAUCAGAAGAAGAAGACUUGAAGUUCAGCCAGCAUCGUCUGUACACUGCAAUUCAACUAUGGAAGUUGGAGUGACACUGGUGCUGGAGUGGAGUGGAGUGGAGUGGAGUGGAGUGUUGUCACUGCAUAUACACCCGUGCCCAGCAUAUCUGCAUUUGGUGGCCACUAUAUUAAGUAUCUCCUGCACCAAAUCAAGUGGCCACUGAGUGUAUGUUUGUGGUCUUCUGCUGCUGUAGCCCAUCCACUUCAAGGUUCAACAUGUUGUGUGUUCAGAGGUGCUCUUCUGCACACCACUGUUCUAAUGUGUUAUUUGAGUUACUGUCACCUUCCUGUCAAAUUGAACCAGUCUGGCCGUUCUCCUCUGACCUCUCUCAUUAACAAGGUGAUUUUGCCCCCAGAACUGCCACUCACUGGGCAUCUUAUGUUUUUUUUCACCAAUCUGUGUAAACUCUAAAGACUGUUGUACAUGAAAAUCCCAGGAAAUCAACAGUUUCUGAGAUACUCAAACCACCCCAUCUGGCACCAACAAUCAUUCCACGGUUAAAGUCACUUAGAUCACAUUUCUUCCCCAUUCUGAUGUUUGAAAUGAACCUAUUGAUUAUGUCUGCAUGCUUUUAUGCAUUGAGUUGCUGCUUCAUAACUGGCUGAUUAGAUAUUUGGAUUAAUACAAGUGUAUUUAAUAAAGUAGCCACUGAAUGUAUAUCAAUGACCUUUAUAGAAACAUAGAAACAUAGAAAAUAGGUGCAGGAGUAGGCCAUUCGGCCCUUCGAGCCUGCACCACCAUUUAUUAUGAUCAUGGCUGAUCAUCCAACUCAGAACCCCGCCCCAGCCUUCCCUCCAUACCCCCUGAUCACUUUAGCCACAAGGGCCAUA